rnacentral:rRNA from 1 species
GAAUAUUGGACAAUGGGCGCAAGCCUGAUCCAGCCAUGCCGCGUGAGUGAAGAAGGCCCUCGGGUUGUAAAGCUCUUUUGUCCGGAAAGAAAAGCGUUCGGUUAAUACCCGCGCGUCCUGACGGUACCCAAAGAAUAAGCACCGGCUAACUUCGUGCCAGCAGCCGCGGUAAUACGAAGGGUGCAAGCGUUACUCGGAAUUACUGGGCGUAAAGCGUGCGUAGGUGGUCUGUUAAGUCUGAUGUGAAAGCCCCGGGCUCAACCUGGGAAUGGCAUUGGAUACUGGCAGUCUAGAGUGCGGUAGAGGGGUGUGGAAUUCCCGGUGUAGCAGUGAAAUGCGUAGAUAUCGGGAGGAACAUCCGUGGCGAAGGCGACACCCUGGACCAGCACUGACACUGAGGCACGAAAGCGUGGGGAGCAAACAG